CAUUGCGGUAGAACUAAAAAGAAGUCCCUGCUUUUAUAGCAUAGCUUUGCUUUUAUAAGGAUGAACGUAAAUGCAGCCAUCUAACUGCUGAAGCUUUAGAUCCCAGUGGAAAUAUCUUCGGCUCAAAUUUCUCGAAAGCUUACACAUCUAGGUCUCAGGAAUGCCAAGAAGAGGACAAAAGUUUCGGAGGUACCUCUCUCAGCUGGAGACCUAGCUACACAACCACAAAACCACGCGCUAGAUGAUCCUAAAGCCAGAGAGCACCCGGCGCAUAAGGGAAAAGUGUACAUGGGUUAAGCUGUAAUCAUGACAACAACGCUAAUCAUCCAAUAUCAGCUGAUGAAGAAACACUGCAAGCACUUAAGAGCAGAUGGACAACAUCUUCGAGCAGACUGCAGCGAAGAAG